rnacentral:rRNA from 1 species
UACGUAGGGUGCGAGCGUUAAUCGGAAUUACUGGGCGUAAAGUGUGCGCAGGCGGCCGCGCAAGUCGAGUGUGAAAGCCCCGGGCUUAACUUGGGAAUUGCGCUCGAAACUACGUGGCUGGAGUGUGGCAGAGGAAGGUGGAAUUCCACGUGUAGCGGUGAAAAUGCGUAGGAGAAUGCGGAGGAAACACCAGUGUGGAGCGGAACGGUCCAGCCCCUGG